AACGAACGCUGGCGGCAUGCCUAACACAUGCAAGUCGAACGAGACCUUCGGGUCUAGUGGCGCACGGGUGCGUAACGCGUGGGAACCUGCCCUUAGGUUCGGAAUAACUCCCCGAAAGGGGUGCUACUACCGGAUAAUGUCUUCGGACCAAAGAUUUAUCGCCUUUGGAUGGGCCCGCGUUGGAUUAGCUAGUUGGUAGGGUAAAAGCCUACCAAGGCGACGAUCCAUAGCUGGUCUGAGAGGAUGAUCAGCCACACUGGGACUGAGACACGGCCCAGACUCCUACGGGAGGCAGCAGUGGGGAAUAUUGGACAAUGGGCGAAAGCCUGAUCCAGCAAUGCCGCGUGAGUGAUGAAGGCCUUAGGGUUGUAAAGCUCUUUUACCCGGGAUGAUAAUGACAGUACCGGGAGAAUAAGCUCCGGCUAACUCCGUG
rnacentral:rRNA from 1 species